rnacentral:rRNA from 1 species
UAAGGAAUAUUGGUCAAUGGACGCAAGUCUGAACCAGCCAUGCCGCGUGGAGGAUGACGGUCCUCUGGAUUGUAAACUUCUUUUAUUUGGGAAGAAAACCUCUGAUUAUUCGGAGCUUGACGGUACCAGAUGAAUAAGCACCGGCUAACUCCGUGCCAGCAGCCGCGGUAAUACGGAGGGUGCAAGCGUUAUCCGGAUUCACUGGGUUUAAAGGGUGCGUAGGCGGAUAGGUAAGUCCGUGGUGAAAUCUCUGAGCUUAACUUGGAAACUGCCGUUGAUACUAUAGGUCUUGAAUUAUCUGGAGGUAAGCGGAAUAUGUCAUGUAGCGGUGAAAUGCUUAGAUAUGACAUAGAACACCAAUUGCGAAGGCAGCUUACUACAUAUAAAUUGACGCUGAGGCACGAAAGCGUGGGGAUCAAACA